ensembl:snRNA U6 U6 spliceosomal RNA
GUGCUUGCUUCGACGGCACCUAUGCUAAAAUUGGAACGACACAGAGAAGAAUAGCAUGGCCCCUGUGCUAAGUUACAGAAUGAGGAAGACCUGCUGUGC